UUAUGCCGGAUAAUUUGUUAUAC
rnacentral:piRNA from 1 species